GAUCUUGUGGUCGAGCGGUCAAAGACAAUGGACUCAAAAUCCAUUAUUUCACGAAGAAGGUCA
rnacentral:tRNA from 2 species